rnacentral:rRNA from 1 species
CCUACGGGGUGCAGCAGUGGGGGAUAUUGCACAAUGGGGGGAACCCUGAUGCAGCGACGCCGCGUGGGUGAAGAAGCGCCUCGGCGCGUAAAGCCCUGUCAGCAGGGAAGAAAAUGACGGUACCUGAAGAAGAAGCCCCGGCUAACUACGUGCCAGCAGCCGCGGUAAUACGUAGGGGGCAAGCGUUAUCCGGAUUUACUGGGUGUAAAGGGCGUGUAGCCGGGUUGACAAGUCAGAUGUGAAAUCCUGCGGCUUAACCGCAGAACUGCAUUUGAAACUGUUGAUCUUGAGUACUGGAGAGGCAGACGGAAUUCCUAGUGUAGCGGUGAAAUGCGUAGAUAUUAGGAGGAACACCAGUGGCGAAGGCGGCUUUCUGGACUGAAACUGACGCUGAGGCACGAAAGCGUGGGGAGCGAACAGGAUUAGAUACCCGGGUAGUC